rnacentral:rRNA from 1 species
GACGAACGCUGGCGGCGUGCUUAACACAUGCAAGUCGAACGGUGAAGGGGUCUGCUUUUGUGGUCCCUGGAUGAGUGGCGCACGGGUGAGUAACACGUGAGUAACCUUCCCCCUUCUUCUGGAUAACCGCAUGAAAGUGUGGCUAAUACGGGAUAUUCUGGGUCUGUCGCAUGCUGGGUCUGGGCAAGAUUGCGCCUUUGGGUUUUUUUGGUGGGGGAUGGGCUCGCGGCCUAUCUGCUUGUUGGUGGGGUGAUGGCCUACCAAGGCGGUGACGGGUAGCCGGCCUGAGAGGGUGGACGGUCACACUGGGACUGAGACACGGCCCAGACUCCUACGGGAGGCAGCAGUGGGGAAUAUUGCACAAUGGGCGCAAGCCUGAUGCAGCGACGCCGCGUGAGGGAUGGAGGCGUUCGGGUUGUAAACCUCUUUCGCCAGUGAAGCAGGCCUGCUCCUUGUGGGUGGGUUGACGGUAGCUGGAUAAGAAGCGCCGGCUAACUACGUG